GAAACGACUGCUAAGACUGGAUAGGAAACAAAAAGGCAUCUUUUUGUUUUUAAAAGACCUUCUUACGAAGGUAUGCUUAAAGAGGGGCUUGCGCCACAUUAGUUAGUUGGUAGGGUAAAAGCCUACCAAGACGAUGAUGUGUAGCUGGACUGAGAGGUUGAACAGCCACAUUGGGACUGAGACACGGCCCAAACUCCUACGGGAGGCAGCAGUAGGGAAUUUUCGGCAAUGGAGGAAACUCUGACCGAGCAACGCCGCGUGAACGAUGAAGUAUUUCGGUAUGUAAAGUUCUUUUAUUGAAGAAGAAAAAGUAGUGGAAAAACUAUAUUGACGUUAUUCAAUGAAUAAGCCCCGGCUAACUAUGUGCCAGCAGCCGCGGUAAGACAUAGGGGGCGAGCGUUAUCCGGAAUUAUUGGGCGUAAAGGGUGCGUAGGCUGUUAGAUAAGUCUAUAAUUUAAUUUCAGUGCUUAACGCUGUUUUGUUAUAGAAACUGUCUUGACUAGAGUGAGAUAGAGGCAAGCGGAAUUCCAUGUGUAGCGGUAAAAUGUGUAAAUAUAUGGAGGAACACCAGAAGCGUAGGCGGCUUGCUGGGUCUUUACUGACGCUGAGGCACGAAAGCGUGGGUAGCAAACAGGAUUAGAUACCCUGGUAGUCCACGCCGUAAACGAUGAGUACUAAGUGUCGGGGUAAAACUCGGUACUGAAGUUAACACAUUAAGUACUCCGCCUGAGUAGUACGUACGCAAGUAUGAAACUUAAAGGAAUUGACGGGACUCCGCACAAGCGGUGGAUCAUGUUGUUUAAUUCGAAGAUACACGAAAAAUCUUACCAGGUCUUGACAUACUUCUGCAAAGCUAUAGAAAUAUAGUGGAGGUUAUCAGGGAUACAGGUGGUGCAUGGUUGUCGUCAGUUCGUGUCGUGAGAUGUUAGGUUAAGUCCUAAAACGAGCGCAACCCUUGUCGUUAAUUGCCAGCACGUAAUGGUGGGGACUUUAGCGAGACUGCCAAUUAAACAUUGGAGGAAGGUGAGGAUUACGUCAAAUCAUCAUGCCCCUUAUGAUCUGGGCUACAAACGUGAUACAAUGGCUGUGACAAAGAGUAGCUGAAACGCGAGUUUUUAGCCAAUCUCAAAAAAGCAGUCUCAGUUCGGAUUGAAGUCUGUAACUCGACUUCAUGAAGUUGGAAUCGCUAGUAAUCGCGAAUCAGCAUGUCGCGGUGAAUACGUUCUCGGGGUUUGUACACACCGCCCGUCA
rnacentral:rRNA from 1 species